CCAGGUGAUACCCUUGGAUAUAACCCUGGAGCUCCAGAAGCAGAUCAUGUCCGAGUUAGAAAUUCUCUACAAGUGCGACUCCUCGUAUAUCAUAGGAUUUUAUGGUGCUUUUUUUGUAGAAAACAGGAUUUCAUUGUGCACAGAGUUCAUGGAUGAAUGAAAUGCAAUGGUAACACUCAAAAAUGUGCAGCAUUAAUAAUAUUGCAGGUAGUUAAAAAAACCCAGAGCAGGUUGGGAUCGGGAUUGGGGGAUAUUCUGCAUUUUCCCUGCGUGGAACUUCGCUUACUUUUAUGGAAAAUGUAAAUAGAAGAGAAAUAAACGCAGCCUUAAUUUGUGGUUUGAUA